rnacentral:tRNA from 1 species
GAGAUACUAGCUCAGCCGGUAGAGCACCUGACUUUUAAUCAGGGUGUCGGGGGUUCGAUUCCCCCGUGUCUCA